rnacentral:rRNA from 1 species
GAUGAACGCUGGCGGCGUGCCUAAUACAUGCAAGUCGAGCGAACAGACGAGGAGCUUGCUCCUUUGACGUUAGCGGCGGACGGGUGAGUAACACGUGGGUAACCUACCUUUAAGACUGGGAUAACUUCGGGAAACCGGAGCUAAUACCGGAUAAUAUUUCGAACCGCAUGGUUCGAUAGUGAAAGAUGGCUUUGCUAUCACUUAUAGAUGGACCUGCGCCGUAUUAGCUAGUUGGUAAGGUAACGGCUUACCAAGGCAACGAUACGUAGCCGACCUGAGAGGGUGAUCGGCCACACUGGAACUGAGACACGGUCCAGACUCCUACGGGAGGCAGCAGUAGGGAAUCUUCCGCAAUGGGCGAAAGCCUGACGGAGCAACGCCGCGUGAGUGAUGAAGGUCUUCGGAUCGUAAAACUCUGUUAUUAGGGAAGAACAAACGUGUAAGUAACUGUGCACGUCUUGACGGUACCUAAUCAGAAAGCCACGGCUAACUACGUG